CAUGGAUUCUCUCUAGCUGGUUGUACUAUCGCGAGAGGAAGAGCGCAAUUGACCGAUCGUUCGGCGACACCGGACCGCCGGCGUGAAUUAAAAUGCGAUCCAUUUGGUGAGAAGAUGACUUCGGCUUCCCAGGGGGCGGAGUACCAGUGGAAUACUUGAGCUCUGGGAUCUUGUGGUUCCUCCUUGAGUUCAGAGUUCCUCCUUGAGUUCCGAGUCAACACAUACCGAGGUAGAUUUCUCGAGUACUGCCGGUGAACUCGGACCGAGACUACAGGUUAUAAAUAAUGUCCGAGUUACCUGGUAACGCGGGGUACCCGGUGCUGGGGGACAGGUCGCUGGAGUUCUAUAAAGACCCGGUGGGCUUCUGCGACCACCGGCUGGAGAAACACAACAGCAGAGUGUUUCGGUCCCGACUCCUCAACAAGCCCACCGUGUUGGUGUGUUCCGUGAGGGGGAUGAGAGAGGUGCUGCACGAGAAGUCCAGCGUGUUUCUCAAAGACCCAACGGAUCUGAUGACCAACAUGUAUGGUGACACCCUCGUCACCACAAACGGUGAAGAGGCGUGUUUGCUGCGUCUGUCUCUGAGCAGUUUGUUUACGGGGGCGUGUCUAGAAUCAUGGAACAAUGACCUCAUCAGUGUGUGUGAGCGCCACCUCCAGGCUCUUUCUUCCAGUGAGCCCCAGUGUGUGUACUCUCUGUUUAAGGCUCUGGGGACAGAACUGGUCCUGGGUCUAUUCCUCAACGUGCGGCCAGACGAGCACCCUCAGCUCUACCAGGAGAUCACUGAGCUGUGCACGCAGCACUGGCACGGUCUGAUCUCGGCCCCGGUCAGCCUGAAGGUGCCCCUGUGGUCCUCAGGGUUCUCCACCGCGCUGGAGGCCCGAGACAGGCUGAUGGAAAUCAUCAAGGACAAGCUGGAGAACGACAAGCAUGGGUUGGUGGGCUCCCUGGGGUCGCUGCCCCUCCCCCAUCCGAUCUGUGCCUCCCAGCACCUCCUGCUCUUCAUCUCCGCUCUCAUCCCCAAAGCUCUGGCCUCCCUCCUCACCUCCUUUACCCUGGCCCUCAGUGGACCUCAGCAGGAGAAGAUGCGGCAGAGGGCGAAGGCUGAGCCCGAGUUCUUGCGCUGCUUGCUAUUGGAGGUUCAGAGACUCUGGCCUCCUUUCAUUGGUGGACGCAGGAUAGCCAAUAAGGACACAACCAUAGAAGGCUUCUCCGUGCCCCGGGGUCAGGUGGUGAUGUACGUCAGCCACGCAGUCCACCGCGACCCGGAAGUGUUCCAGCAGCCCGACCACUUCCUGCCCGAUAGGUGGACAGGAAGACCUGCAGGAGGCUCCAACACAGCUAGCCGGUGCCACAGAGAAGAGGCCACCAGGUUGUUAAUAAUGAUUGAUCUGCCUCUGUAUGAAAUCCUGGGCAAGAGCCAGCGCCACCUCCCCAGCCUGCCCUCCAUCUUCUCCACCACUCCCUCCCAGUUCCUUUUCUCUGCAGAGUCAUCACCCAGUUGCACUCCCAGAUACUUGAUGCCAUGUCUUUCCCAGAAAAUCCCAUCAGGAAUGCGGGUCAGGAGCAUCUUCUUUGUUGCCUAGGUAACGGACCGAGGAACUGCAUCGGGGACACACUGACUGAUAGCUUCGUCAAGACCGCGUGCAGCUACCUGCUGACUCACUACGACUGGGCCCUGGACCCCCCCGACCAGAACACCUCCUAUAAAUGGCUGCCGGCAUCCCGCCCGGCCGAACCGCUCCACCUCUCCUUCACCAGACUGGACCAGACCGGUUCCUGCCCCACACACCCUCAGUGAGGCUCAGAUCCAGGGCAGCUGCUGGCCGUUUCGGUGCCCUACGCGAGCGGGGGGGGGGAGCCCCUUUUUAUAUAUUAGGUAAGAACACCUAAUUUGCUGAAAUUGAGUGAUAGGUUAUACAAUUAAGAACAAACAACGGUGGGCCACUUCAUAACUAAUUUACAUCUUUUUUUAAUUCAAUAAUGUAUUUUUUUUUGUUUUUGUUUUUACAAACCUUAAUUUUUGGUGCCCCCUCAGGUACCUGGUGCCCUACGCACUCUGGGUACUCUGCGUAUAGGGAGCAGCGGGCCUGCUCAGAUCACUGAAGGCUAGUGCUAAUGAUAAUGAAGGAAGGGGUUGAACUCAACGAGUUUGGCACAUUAGUGACUCACUGUUUUUAAUUAAAAAACAAGGCAUUUUUUAUUUAUUUUUUUAGAUUUGCUUUUUGCACACACACACACAAAGAAAAAAAAAGGGCACUGACGACUGGUAUGUUAUCGGUUAUCACAUGGAGACAAUGACAAGAAGGCUUUGGGUGGACUGGAGGAUUGUGGCUGGAGAACGAUGGAGAGGUUCAGCAACCAGCUGCCUAUUCAGUGAACAAAGCUAUCAACCCCUGAAUUCAUUUACAUUUGAAACAAUUUGGUUAUUGGAAAAUCUGUUGCUAAUCAUGAUGUUUUAUACUGUUUAUAGUAAUCAUAGCCCCAGUAAAAACAUUUGAUGGUGUAAACCCUAGCCCUUACUCAAAGUAACUGGGAAUGAUAACUGAGGAAGUGGAAAGCUGAAGUCUGCAUAAUGUAACAACAGCACUAACGUCUAUAAUCCAGAAAAGAACAUACUUGAAAUUCAUUGACAUGAUUCAAUCAAAAUGUUUCCCGUUACCUUCAAACCUCUUCUGAUCCAGCAGUGGGCUUGGCCACUCUCCGAAAUAAAUCAUUACUAAAAUGUUGGGCACAGCCAUUAGUUGUUGUUGGAAGCAUUAGACAUUAAAGUGUAAUUCCGGCGAAAAUUGAA